UACGGAGGGGGCUAGCGUUGUUCGGAAUUACUGGGCGUAAAGCGCACGUAGGCGGCUUUGCAAGUCAGAGGUGAAAGCCCGGGGCUCAACCCCGGAAUUGCCUUUGAGACUGCAUCGCUAGAAUUGUGGAGAGGUAAGUGGAAUUCCGAGUGUAGAGGUGAAAUUCGUAGAUAUUCGGAAAGAACACCAGUGGCGAAGGCGACUUACUGGACACAUAUUGACGCUGAGGUGCGAAAGCGUGGGGAGCAAACAGG
rnacentral:rRNA from 1 species